AUAUAAAUUAACAUUCAUGGGAUCAGAUGCAACAGCAACAGCGCAAAUGUUUUGCUUUGAUACUGUAGCACGACAUAUAGUUGGCAGACCAUGUGAAACGGUUCUGAAACAAGCCACUGAAGCAACACCAAUACCUCCAGAUCUAGCACAAAUAGUAUCCUUAAAGUUUACAUUUCGUGUUACAGCAUCAAACCAAACAUUCGCUCAACGAGAGAAGCAACCCACUGUGUUACAAAUAAAUUCUAUAGUUGUACAUGGAAGACAACACUAUCUACCAUCAGGAAUUCAAAACACCAUAGAUCAAGGUCCAUCAACACCAAACAAAGAAGCUACACUCAAAUUAUUAGAAGAAUCACCUUCUAUUGCUAUGGAAAGGUUAUCAACAAAAGUAUCCAAAGAUGUUGGCAGAAAACUCACAUAUUCAACACAGGACAAAG
rnacentral:misc_RNA from 1 species